UUUUAUCUUAGUGUGUGUUAUAUUAUCAUUUCUUGGGGCAGAAUGAUAAAGGGAAAUGGUGGUGAACAGGACAAGGAGCAGCCUCAGCUUGGAGAAGGGUUCUAAGAGAGAACGUGUCUGGAAGCAGCGAAAAGAAGGACUUCAAGUCAAACCGUGCAUUCAAGCUGACGACCUGUGUACUGCUUGAUCCAGCUUUUCCAGUCUGCGUCCCUGUCUGUUCUGCUUUCUCUCUGGAGAUCUCUGUCUAAAUUCUGCUUGCUUGCUAUUCUAACAGAUCUCUCUGUCCACGUCCUGCUUGCUUGUGUGUGUGGCCAAUCUCAAAGCAGUUUUCUCUUUUUAUCCUUAAAAAAAAAAAUUGUCUGGAAAGCUCAGCUCCUGCAGAACAUUGGUCUUUGGUCUUUUAUUUUACACAUUAAUCCAGUCAUUUACUCCAGGUUCCUUUUGAUUAUCUUAUGAAUCAGCAUUCUGUGCCCUCAGCCCUUGAUUCUUAGGAGACAGCAAGCAUACAUUUUUUUUUUUUCCUUAACAGUGCAAAAGAAUUCAGAGAUUUGUCUGCUUUUGCUAAGCACAAAUGAUAAGACAGACGGUUGGGAUCCUGCUCUGAAAUUAUGAAUUGCACCACACCUGAGCCUAACCUCUCUCUGUCCUAGGCUGAUCCUGAACUCAGGAAUAUUCGGCCUUUUGUAACCAUGAACAGAAAACUUAGCUGGGUGGGAUCUCUGAGAUCACCACUCCCUCAAUCUCUCUCUCCUUCCUUCGU
rnacentral:lncRNA from 1 species